UAUUAGUCAUUUGCGAAUGAAUCGUCAGUAAGUGCGGCUGCAUGUGCUGCGUUCGUAUGAAACUUGUUUAUAUUCCACGUGUAAAGGGCCAAGAUGCCUGAGAUGGGGUGGUAGGCCAUCGAAUCGAUCCCGGUGCCACUUUCCAGUCGUUAGAAAAGGUUGUCAUAUGGAGGUUUCUAAUUCAAAAUGGAGUUGCUCAAAUACACAGGGGAACCCGACCUUCAUCAUAUCAGUUCCGGUAGCCGCCACAAGUUACGUGGUAAAUGACGGUUUGUGGGCGAUCAAUCCAUAUGGCAAAAGACUGCAAGUACCGCGACUAUUCUUGUGAUCGUUGCAAUAAGAAAGGACAUCUGGCACCCGUUUGUCCAGUAAAAUCAUCUUCGCAACAUCCACCAGGGUCGUCUCACCGCAAGUCUGAAAGUAAGCCGGUCUUAAGCAGUAAGUACCUACCUCCAUCGCUAGCUCUCUAAAACAACGACACUUUUCCGAUGCGAAGACCGAAGGAACUAGUCAACUCUGCAGUUGUCAACAAAGACCAACAUUCUUAGGGGUGAGUACUAUUUACCAUCACCACUUCGAAUUCGGCGCUGUCAUCAUCAUUCCGGUCCAUCCGUCAUCGAGGAUUACUCUAAGGUAGCUACUAGUAGUCAAUCAAAGUGACUAUGGUGUUUCACUAAGUACUAGUAGCUUCAAUUGAGAACAAAAUAUACGUACCUAUCAAGUUAUUUAUUUUUUAAGUUAUCACUGUUACAAGAAGAUCUUUGUAAUACAAAAAAAGAAACUUAUUACAUUUGUUCAUCUCUAGAAUAAUAUUGUACUGCCCUAACUGCACUUUGCUGGCAGCUGGCACUAGUUCAACACAAGACAGUCUCCCCCAGCAAAAAAACAAUGAAAACUAUUAAAGUAAACGAAAUUUUUUUAAUUAAAAAGAGAAUCUAUAUUUAAACUUUAUUAAA